rnacentral:rRNA from 1 species
AUUGAACGCUGGCGGCAUGCCUUACACAUGCAAGUCGAACGGCAGCACGGGUGCUUGCACCUGGUGGCGAGUGGCGAACGGGUGAGUAAUACAUCGGAACAUGUCCUGUAGUGGGGGAUAGCCCGGCGAAAGCCGGAUUAAUACCGCAUACGAUCUACGGAUGAAAGCGGGGGACCUUCGGGCCUCGCGCUAUAGGGUUGGCCGAUGGCUGAUUAGCUAGUUGGUGGGGUAAAGUCCUACCAAGGCGACGAUCAGUAGCUGGUCUGAGAGGACGACCAGCCACACUGGGACUGAGACACGGCCCAGACUCCUACGGGAGGCAGCAGUGGGGAAUUUUGGACAAUGGGCGAAAGCCUGAUCCAGCAAUGCCGCGUGUGUGAAGAAGGCCUUCGGGUUGUAAAGCACUUUUGUCCGGAAAGAAAUCCUUGGCCCUAAUACGGUCGGGGGAUGACGGUACCGGAAGAAUAAGCACCGGCUAACUACGUG